UACGUAGGGUGCAAGCGUUGUCCGGAAUUAUUGGGCGUAAAGAGCUCGUAGGCGGUUUGUCGCGUCGGCUGUGAAAACUCGGGGCUCAACCCCGAGCCUGCAGUCGAUACGGGCAGACUAGAGUGCGGUAGGGGAGACUGGAAUUCCUGGCGUAGCGGUGAAAUGCGCAGAUAUCGAGAGGAACACCGGUGGCGAAGGCGGCCUUCUGGACAGUGACUGACGCUGAGACGCGAAAGCGUGGGGAGCAAACAGG
rnacentral:rRNA from 1 species